rnacentral:rRNA from 1 species
UACUAGAGUAGCACUCGCAUAUCAAUAAGCGGAGGAAAAGAAACUAACAAGGAUUCCCCUAGUAACGGCGAGUGAAGCGGGAAGAGCUCAAAUUUGAAAUCUUAAAGGGUUUCCCUUUACGAAUUCGUAGUUUAAAGAAGUGUUUUCUGUUGAGGUUUUGGUAAAAGUUCUUUGGAAUAGGACAUCAUAGAGGGUGAGAAUCCCGUAUUUGACCUUUACUUUCAACUUUGUGAUACACUUUCAAAGAGUCGGAUUGUUUGGGAAUGCAGUCCAAAAUGGGUGGUAAAUUUCAUCUAAAGCUAAAUAUUGGCGAGAGACCGAUAGCGAACAAGUACCGUGAGGGAAAGAUGAAAAGAACUUUGAAAAGAGAGUUAAACAGUACGUGAAAUUGUCAAAAGGGAAGCGUUUGACACCAGUGUUGUUUUUCUGAAAAUCAAUUAGAGAACUGUUUAUGCUAAGCUGUUUAGACUUUACCAGCUAACUGUUUAGUUUUGAGCUUUUCUUUAAUGCACUUUUCAGUUAACAAGUCAACAUCAAUUUCUUUUGCUGUAAAAAAGCUUGAGGAAGGUGGCUUGAGAUUCGUCUUAAGUGUUUAUAGCCUCUUGCCUAUGCAGUCGGAGAGAUUGAGGUCUGCAGCGUAGAUCCUUCGGGGCUAAAUGCAUUUGUGCUAAGUUAUAGCAUUUUAUAGACAACUUGUUGACUAUGAUUUGUCUUGUAGCUUACUCGCUUAUGUUAUUUUACCUACGCUUAGGAUGUUGAUAUCGCGCUCUCACUG